UCAACCGUUUUGAAUAAUUCCGCACUGGAAGACGCAACGGCGACUAACUACGAGCAACACGACUUCACCUUUGGUACCUUCCAAUUCCAUCGUAAUGAAACAGUAUAUAAUAGUACGAUAACGUAAUUGUAAACCCGUGAGGCAAGGAUACAGCACAGUGUGACGAACUGUCUUUCUUUCGUGCUGCUCUACUUGCCUUUGUGACCUUUGAUUGAGGGGCGACUGAUAGCGUUUCGCAAGAACCAGCGGUAUAAUCUACGGACGGAAAGAAGCGGAGGAGUAACACAAGCGCAGGAGAAUGAAAACGCAAAUGCUGGCGAACGCAUCCGCUCUAAAAAAAAGUCGAAAAGUCCGUUUCAUCAAAACUUGGAAAUUGCAAGGUUCAGGAACUUGCGAUCGCACAACAGAGGCAGUAUAGCAGGGUUGCGGUUCUAAUGGACGUAAAUACGGCACCGGAGGAUCCGGUUCGGGCCGAGCAGGGUCGGCCUGAAUAUUUGGAUGUGGCCCUGAUAUGCAGAUUCGAUAAGUAAAAAUUAGAUGGAAAAUAGGUAAUGGUUUUGUUUUCGAAAUGUUUCAAAUUUCGCUAAUUUUUGAAAACAGUGCGAUUUACGUAGUCCGUAAAUUUCUAUAUGUCAAAUUUUGCAUGUAUAUGAAUAGAAAUCAUUAAGCA